rnacentral:rRNA from 1 species
GAUGAACGCUGGCGGCGUGCCUAAUACAUGCAAGUCGAGCGAACGGACGAGAAGCUUGCUUCUCUGAUGUUAGCGGCGGACGGGUGAGUAACACGUGGAUAACCUACCUAUAAGACUGGGAUAACUUCGGGAAACCGGAGCUAAUACCGGAUAAUAUUUUGAACCGCAUGGUUCAAAAGUGAAAGACGGUCUUGCUGUCACUUAUAGAUGGAUCCGCGCUGCAUUAGCUAGUUGGUAAGGUAACGGCUUACCAAGGCAACGAUGCAUAGCCGACCUGAGAGGGGGACGCGCAAAAAGGGGACUGAGACACGGCCAGGAAGAAGACGGGAGGCAGCAGUAGGGAAUCAUCCGCGAUGGACGAAAGUCUGACGGUGCAACGACGCGUGAAUGAUGGAGGGUUGCGGAUAGUAAAGCUCAGUUGAGAGGGAAGAAAAAGGGAGGUUCGAAACGGGCCACCCCCUGACGGUACCUCACCAGAAGGCCCCGGCUAACUAAGUG